CUGAAAAUCACUUUCGUGAGUGGACCCUCUGACUAAAUAUUGUAAUUAAUAUUAUUAUUAUUAACUAGUGGCCUACAUUAAAAAGCCUGAAAAGGUUUCCAGUAGGUCUCUAGCCCAACAUCUUCAAACUACACAUAGUUUUUGUUACUUAUUAUUGUACAUACACAUGGGAAAUAAAUAUUGAUUGAUUGAUUGAUUGAUAUUUGGCAGUGACAUGUUCAUCGGUGAGCUGACUGGUGAAUGGGUGAUGCAGAGGAUUGGUGACGAGGUUGUUGUCGUCACAAGAGCGAUGUUUUUAAUUCGGCUGGAUUUUUUUGUUCAUUUUAAUUAAGUUUGGUGAAAACAUGUGUAUUGAGGGUAAAUUCCAAUGUCAUAUGAUAUUUUAAAUAGACUCUGCGACUACAUGUUCAAAUAUUUUUCUAUUGUUCUGGAGUUUUCCUCGAACGCUUCCAAACGUUUACACGUAUUGUUGACGUUGAUACAAUCAGCUCUCGUUGAAUUAACUGGUAAAAAGUUGAUUUUUUCAAAUGUAUAUCACACAUACGCAACUCGAAUUUGUUUUUUCCCUACGAAUCCGAACAAGAGGUCGUCCUGACCACAGAUUAAGUAUGAACAGAUGUGUAAAUUCAGCAAAAACGUUGUCCCAUGCACGGUCGCCAUCUUCCUAGCAAGUGUCGCUCGCGUGAUAAUUCGUUAUCUAGUAAAAGGAAUGGUAGUACAGAUGAUACGCCGCCAUUUUCCUAGCAAGUAUCAAGGCGUGUGCAGCUUGAAGAAAUUUGAGGACAGGAAGUCCUAUGCAUAGAUAUGUUAUAUACACUAGAUAGUGCAUCUAAUUAUUCUGCAAUUCAAAAAUUGAAGGGGUGAUUGCAGAUUCAGAAUAUUCCCAUGAAGUG